rnacentral:rRNA from 1 species
AAUUGCCCUGAUGUGGGGGAUAACCAUUGGAAACGAUGGCUAAUACCGCAUGAUGCCUACGGGCCAAAGAGGGGGACCUUCGGGCCUCUCGCGUCAGGAUAUGCCUAGGUGGGAUUAGCUAGUUGGUGAGGUAAGGGCUCACCAAGGCGACGAUCCCUAGCUGGUCUGAGAGGAUGAUCAGCCACACUGGAACUGAGACACGGUCCAGACUCCUACGGGAGGCAGCAGUGGGGAAUAUUGCACAAUGGGCGCAAGCCUGAUGCAGCCAUGCCGCGUGU